rnacentral:rRNA from 1 species
AUACGUAGGGUGCGAGCGUUGUCCGGAAUUACUGGGCGUAAAGAGCUCGUAGGUGGUUUGUCGCGUCGUCUGUGAAAUUCCGGGGCUUAACUCCGGGCGUGCAGGCGAUACGGGCAUAACUUGAGUACUGUAGGGGAGACUGGAAUUCCUGGUGUAGCGGUGAAAUGCGCAGAUAUCAGGAGGAACACCGGUGGCGAAGGCGGGUCUCUGGGCAGUAACUGACGCUGAGGAGCGAAAGCAUGGGUAGCGAACAGGAUUAGAUACCCUGGUAGUCCGUGCCGUAAACGGUGGGCGCUAGGUGUAGGGGUCUUCCACGACUUCUGUGCCGUAGCUAACGCAUUAAGCGCCCCGCCUGGGGAGUACGGCCGCAAGGCUAAAACUCAAAGGAAUUGACGGGG